UACAGAGGCCUCGAGCGUUAGGCGGAAUCACUGGGCUUAAAGCGUGUGUAGGCGGACUUCUAAGUCCCUUGUGAAAUCCCACGGCUCACCCGUGGAACUGCUUGGUAUACUGGUUGUCUUGAGCCUUCUAGGGGCGAGUGGAACAAAUGGUGGAGCGGUGAAAUGCGUAGAUAUCAGGUGGAACGCCAAUGGUGAAAACAGGUAACUGGGAGUGUGCUGACGCUGAGACACGAAAGCCAGGGGAGCGAACGGG
rnacentral:rRNA from 1 species